rnacentral:rRNA from 1 species
UGGGGAAUAUUGCGCAAUGGGCGAAAGCCUGACGCAGCGACGCCGCGUGGGGGAUGACGGCCUUCGGGUUGUAAACCUCUUUCAGCAGGGACGAAGCGAGAGUGACGGUACCUGCAGAAGAAGCACCGGCCAACUACGUGCCAGCAGCCGCGGUAAUACGUAGGGUGCAAGCGUUGUCCGGAAUUAUUGGGCGUAAAGAGCUCGUAGGCGGUUUGUUGCGUCGGCUGUGAAAACCUGAGGCUCAACCUCAGGCCUGCAGUCGAUACGAGCAGACUAGAGUGUUGCAGGGGAGACUGGAAUUCCUGGUGUAGCGGUGAAAUGCGCAGAUAUCAGGAGGAACACCGGUGGCGAAGGCGGGUCUCUGGGCAACAACUGACGCUGAGGAGCGAAAGCGUGGGGAGCGAACAGGAUUAGAUACCCUGGUAGUCCACGCCGUAAACGUUGGGCGCUAGGUGUGGGGCUCAUUCCACGAGUUCCGUGCCGCAGCUAACGCAUUAAGCGCCCCGCCUGGGGAGUACGGCCGCAAGGCUAAAACUCAAAUGAAUUGACGGGGUCAUAGCUGUUUCCU